GUUAGGAAUAUUGGACAAUGGGCGAAAGCCUGAUCCAGCCAUGCCGCGUGAACGAUGAAGGCCUUCGGGUUGUAAAGUUCUUUAGCCGAUGAUUAUAAUGACUGUAGUCGGAAAAUAAGCCCCGGCUAACUUCGUGCCAGCAGCCGCGGUAAUACGAAGGGGGCGAGCGUUAUUCGGAAUCACUGGGCGUAAAGCGUGCGUAGGCGGUUUUGUAAGUUAGGAGUGAAAGCCCAGGGCUCAACCUUGGAAUUGCUCUUAAAACUGCAAGGCUCGAAUCUCGGAGAGGAUAGCGGAAUUUCCAGUGUAGCAGUGAAAUGCGUAGAUAUUGGAAGGAACACCAGUGGCGUAAGCGGCUAUCUGGACGAGUAUUGACGCUGAGGCACGAAAGCGUGGGGAUCAAACAGGAUUAGAAACCCGUGUAGUCC
rnacentral:rRNA from 1 species